rnacentral:rRNA from 1 species
ACGGGAGGCAGCAGUGGGGAAUAUUGGGCAAUGGGCGCAAGCCUGACCCAGCAACGCCGCGUGCAGGAAGAAGGCUUUCGGGUUGUAAACUUCUUUUAAGGGGGAAGAGUAGAAGACGGUACCCCUCGAAUAAGCCACGGCUAACUACGUGCCAGCAGCCGCGGUAAUACGUAGGUGGCAAGCGUUGUCCGGAUUUACUGGGUGUAAAGGGCGUGUAGCCGGGUCUGCAAGUCAGAUGUGAAAUCCAUGGGCUCAACCCAUGAACUGCAUUUGAAACUGUAGGUCUUGAGUGCUGGAGGGGCAAUCGGAAGUCCUUGUGUAGCGGUGAAAUGCGUAGAUAUAAGGAGGAACACCAGUGGCGAAGGCGGAUUGCUGGACAGUAACUGACUGUGAGGCGCGAAAGUGUGGGGAGCAAACAGGAUUAGAUACCCUGGUA